rnacentral:rRNA from 1 species
CCUACGGGUGGCAGCAGUGAGGAAUAUUGGUCAAUGGGCGUAAGCCUGACCCAGCAAAGCCGCGUGAGGGAUGAAGGUUCUAUGGAUCGUAAACCUCUUUUAUAAGGGAAUAAAGUGCGAGACGUGUCCCGUUUUUUAUGUACCUUUGAAUCAUGAUCGGCUAACUCCGUGCCAGCAGCCGCGGUACUACGGUGGAUCCAGGCUUUAUCCGGAUUUACUGGGUUUAAAGGGUGCGUAGGCGGCAUAUUAAGUAGACGGUAAAACCCUGGGGCUCAACCAUAGAAUUGCUGUUGAAACUGGGAGGCUUGAGUAUGUUAGAGGCAGGUGGAAUGCGUGGUGUAGCGGUGGAAUGCUUAGAUAUCACGCAGAACCCCGAUGGCGAAGGCAGCCUGCCAAGCCAUGACUGACGCUGAUGCACGAAAGCGUGGGGAUCAAACAGGAUUAGAUACCCGGGUAGUC